AACGAACGCUGGCGGCAGGCCUCAAACAUGCAAGUCUAGGGGGUGUAGCAAUACAUCACCGGCGGACGGGUGCGUAACACGUGGGAAUAUACCUUUUGGUUUCGGGAACAACGCAGGGAAACGUUGCGCUAAUACCGAAUGUGCCCUUACGGGGAAAGGAUUUAUCGCCAAAGGAUUAGCCCGCGUAGGAUUAGCUAGUUGGUGAGGUAAUGGCUCACCAAGGCUCCGAUCCUUAGCUGUUCUGAGAGGAAGAUCAGCCACACUGGGACUGAGACACGGCCCAGACUCCUACGGGAGGGCAGCAGUUGGGAAGUCUUGGACAAUAGGGGGGAAACCCGUACGAUCCACGCCAUGCC
rnacentral:rRNA from 1 species